rnacentral:rRNA from 1 species
UACGUAGGGCGCGAGCGUUGUCCGGAUUUAUUGGGCGUAAAGAGCUCGUAGGCGGUUUGUUGCGUCGACUGUGAAAACCCGCGGCUUAACUGCGGGCUUGCAGUUGAUACGGGCAGGCUAGAGUUCGGUAGGGGAGACUGGAAUUCCUGGUGUAGCGGUGAAAUGCGCAGAUAUCAGGAGGAACACCGAUGGCGAAGGCAGGUCUCUGGGCAUUAACUGACGCUGAGGAGCGAAAGCGUGGGGAGCGAACAGG